AUAAAUUAUUUAUGGUUUUAAUUAAUUUAUUAUAAAUUUAUUUUACAUAUAAAUUUUAGUAUAAAUUUUUAUUUAUUUAAAAAAUAAAUAAUUUAUUAUGUAGUAAUUAGCAUUAAAAAUUUAAGUAAUUAAGAUUUAGUAAUAUAAAAAUUAAUAACAAAUUUUGUGCCAGCAGUUGCGGUUAUACAAAAAUUAAGUUAAAUUUUAUUAGUAAUUAAUAAAUAUAAAUAUAAAAAUAAAAACUUUAAAUUAUUAAGUGAAAUUUUAAUUUAAUUAAAAAUUUUAUUAAAAAUAUGAUUUAAUAAAUUUAUAAAUAAACUAGGAUUAGAUACCCUAUUAUUAAAAAUUUAAAUUAAAAAUACUAAAAUAGUAGAUAAUUAUUUAUUGAAACUUAAAUGAUUUGGCGGUAUUUUAGUUCAUUUAGAGGAAUCUGUUUAAUAAUUGAUAAUCCACGAAUAAAUUUACUUAAUUUAAUAUUUUGUAUAUCGUUGUUAUAAAAAUAUUUUUUAAUAAAAAUAAUAUUUUAAAAUUUUUAAUAAAAAUUAAAUCAGAUCAAGAUGCAGAUUAUAAUUAAGAAUAUAAUGGAUUACAAUAAAUUUAUUUAAAUGAAUAUUAAUUUGUAAUAAUUAAUUGAAAGUGGAUUUAAAUGUAAUUUUUUUUUAAUUUAAAAAAAUGAUUAAAAAUUAAAAUAUGUACAUAUUGCCCGUCGCUUUCAUUAAUAAAUUGAAAUAAGUCGUAACAAAGUAGAUAUACUGGAAAGUGUUUCUAGAAAGAA
rnacentral:ncRNA from 1 species